GAUGAACGCUGGCGGCGUGCCUAAUACAUGCAAGUCGAGCGAACAGACGAGGAGCUUGCUCCUCUGACGUUAGCGGCGGACGGGUGAGUAACACGUGGAUAACCUACCUAUAAGACUGGGAUAACUUCGGGAAACCGGAGCUAAUACCGGAUAAUAUAUUGAACCGCAUGGUUCAAUAGUGAAAGACGGUUUUGCUGUCACUUAUAGAUGGAUCCGCGCCGCAUUAGCUAGUUGGUAAGGUAACGGCUUACCAAGGCAACGAUGCGUAGCCGACCUGAGAGGGUGAUCGGCCACACUGGAACUGAGACACGGUCCAGACUCCUACGGGAGGCAGCAGUAGGGAAUCUUCCGCAAAGGGCGAAAGCCUGACGGAGAAACGCCGCGUGAGUGAUGAAGGUCUUCGGAUCGUAAAACUCUGUUAUUAGGGAAGAACAAAUGUGGAAGUAACUAUGCACGUAUUGACGGUACCUAAUCAGAAAGCCACGGCUAACUACGUG
rnacentral:rRNA from 1 species